rnacentral:rRNA from 1 species
CGGGACGGGUGAGUAAUGUCUGGGAAACGUGCCUGAUGGAGGGGGAUAACUACUGGAAACGGUAGCUAAUACCGCAUAACGUCGCAAGACCAAAGAGGGGACCUCGGGCCUCUUGCCAUCGGAUGUGCCCAGAUGGGAUUAGCUAGUAGGUGGGGUAACGGCUCACCUAGGCGACGAUCCCUAGCUGGUCUGAGAGGAUGACCAGCCACACUGGAACUGAGACACGGUCCAG